rnacentral:lncRNA from 1 species
GUAUGGCAUACAGGUGAGAUGUAAGGAUACAUCAUCAUUAAACGUAACCAACUUCAGAGCAUUCUGCUGUCGAUAAUGUCUCUAAUGGGAUAUAAGUAUAAGUAUCCCUUAAACCUGAGAUCGCCUCAGUGACUUGCAAGCAACUCACUGUGCUUUGGUACUGGACUAACUGAAUUUUUAAUUCAGUGACAGAAGGCUUCUGGGCAC